AGUUACUUAAUUACAACUUUUGUGUUGGAUUAUCAUCAAUCAUAUUGAUAAUUUAAAUCUAUCACAAUUUCUAACCAUAAUUCAACCAUCUAAUCAGUUAAAAGUCUCUUUAUGUAUAAUCUCAUAGGUUCUAUUCAGUCUGAUAGUGAGAUAUAUUAUAAUCUCUAUCACAAUAUCAUUAAAACUCCUUUCAAUGGAUUAGAAUCAUUUCAACUCUACCCACC
rnacentral:lncRNA from 1 species